CCACAUUUGGUUGAGCACAUCGUUUUGCGUUGUGCCUCUUCCUUAAAAACCCGAGCUCUUUAUAUUGUGUUUGGUUGAAACUUGUUGGCGAUUCGUUUCGCGUAGGACUUGUUUUAACUCUCUCAUAUAUAUCAAAAGACCCGAAUAAACUUUAUACUUAACUUUAAAAUACAAUACCAAAA
rnacentral:misc_RNA from 1 species